rnacentral:rRNA from 1 species
GACGAACCGUGCGAACGUUAUUCGGAAUCACUGGGCUUAAAGCGCGUGUAGGCGGGACGGCACGUCUGUCGCUGAAAUCCCCCGGCUCAACCGGGGAACGGGCGCGGAUACGACCGUCCUGGAGGGGCGUAGGGGGACCUGGAACUUCCGGUGGAGCGGUGAAAUGCGUUGAGAUCGGAAGGAACGCCCGUGGCGACAGCGAGGUCCUGGACGCUUACUGACGCUGAGACGCGAAAGCCAGGGGAGCGAACGGG